rnacentral:rRNA from 1 species
GCUAUCAUGCAGUCGAGGGGCAGCACAGGUAGCAAUACUGGGUGGCGACCGGCAAACGGGUGCGGAACACGUACGUAACCUUCCUUUAAGUGGGAGAUAGCCCGAAGAAAUUCGGAUUAAUACCCCAUAAGAUUGUGGAAUGGCAUCAUUCAGCAAUUAAAGAAAUUCGCUUAAAGAUGGGCGUGCGGCUGAUUAGGUAGUUGGUGAGGUAACGGCUCACCAAGCCAACGAUCAGUAACUGGCGUGAGAGCGCGACCAGUCACACGGGCACUGAGACACGGGCCCGACUCCUACGGGAGGCAGCAGUAAGGAAUAUUGGUCAAUGGACGCAAGUCUGAACCAGCCAUGCCGCGUGAAGGAUGAAGGUCCUCUGGAUUGUAAACUUCUUUUAUAUGGGAAGAAACCACUUUUUUCUAAAGGUGUUGACGGUACCAUAGGAAUAAGCACCGGCUAACUCCGUGCCAGCAGCCGCGGUAAUACGGAGGGUGCAAGCGUUAUCCGGAUUCACUGGGUUUAAAGGGUGCGUAGGCGGAUUAGUAAGUCCGUGGUGAAAUCUCCGAGCUUAACUCGGAAACUGCCGUGGAUACUAUUAAUCUUGAAUACUGUGGAGGUUAGCGGAAUAUGUCAUGUAGCGGUGAAAUGCAUAGAUAUGACAUAGAACACCAAUUGCGAAGGCAGCUGGCUACACAGAGAUUGACGCUGAGGCACGAAAGCGUGGGGAUCAAACAGGAUUAGAUACCCUGGUAGUCCACGCCCUAAACGAUGAUUACUCGACAUUUGCGAUAUACAGUAAGUGUCUGAGCGAAAGCAUUAAGUAAUCCACCUGGGAAGUACGACCGCAAGGUUGAA